GAGUUUGUAUCCAUGGCUCUCAUUGUACGCUGGCGGCCUGCUUUUACACAUGCAAGUCUUAACGGCAGUUACGGUGGGCAACCCUGGUGGCGAGUGGCGAACGGGUGAGUAAUGCAUCGGAAACGUGUCUUUUAGUGGGGGAUAACGCAUCGAANGGUGUGCUAAUACCGCAUANUCUCUGUGGCAGAAAAGCAGGGGUAUCGUAGGACCUUGCGCUUUUAGAGCGGCCUUACGUCUGAUUAGCUAGUUGGUGAGGUAAAGGCUCACCAAGGNUCCGAUCAGUAUCUGGUCUGAGAGGACGACCAGCCACACUGGGUCUGAGACACGGCCCACACUCCUACGGGAGGCAGCAGUGGGGAAUUUUGGACAAUGGGGGCAACCCUGAUCCANCCAUGCCGCGUGAGUGAAGAAGGCCUUCGGGUUGUAAAGCUCUUUCAGCCGGAAAGAAAUCGUACAGACUAAUACUCUGUAUGGAUGACGUGUNCCGGAAGAAGAAGCCCCGGNUAACUACGUGCCAGCCNGUCCUGCGGGUAAUACGNUAGGGUUGCGAGCGUUUAAUCCUGUAAUUUACUUGGGCGUAAAGCGUGCGGCAGGNCNGUUUUGGUAAAGUCAGCAUGUGAAAAUCCCCGGGGCUUAACCUGUGUAACUUGCGGUUUGUAAACUACCAAGGUCUAGAAUGGUAGCCANAACGGGGGUUGCAAAUCCCCCGUGGUAGCAAUAGAAAUUGGCGUCAGAGAUGUUGGAAGGAACUACUCAAUUGGCUGAAAGCAUCCCCCCUGGGUUAACACUGACGCUCAGGCACGAAAGCGUGGGGAGCAAACCAGGUUUAGAUACCCUUGUAGUCCCACGCCCUAAACUAUGUCAACUAGUUGUCGGGCCUUAAACGGGCUUGGGUAACGCAGCUAACGCGUGAAGUUGACCGCCUGGGGAGUACGGUCGCAAGAUUAAAACUCAAAGGAAUUGACGGGGACCCGCACAAGCGGUGGAUUAUGUGGAUUAAUUCGAUGCAACGCGAAAAACCUUACCUACCCUUGACAUGUAUCGAAGCCCGCUGAGAGGUGGGUGUGCCCGAAAGGGAACGGUAACACAGGUGCUGCAUGGCUGUCGUCAGCUCGUGUCGUGAGAUGUUGGGUUAAGUCCCGCAACGAGCGCAACCCUUGUCAUUAAUUGCCAUCAUUCAGUUGGGCACUUUAAUGAGACUGCCGGUGACAAACCGGAGGAAGGUGGGGAUGACGUCAAGUCCUCAUGGCCCUUAUGGGUAGGGCUUCACACGUAAUACAAUGGCGCGUACAGAGGGUUGCCAACCCGCGAGGGGGAGCUAAUACUCAGAAAGCGCGUCGUAGUCCGGAUCGGAGUCUGCAACUCGACUCCGUGAAGUCGGAAUCGCUAGUAAUCGCGGAUCAGCAUGUACGCGGUGAAUACGUUCCCGGGUCUUGUACACACCGCCCGUCACACCAUGGGAGUGGGUUCCACCAGAAGACAGGUAGUCUAACCGCAAGGAGGGCGCUUGCCACGGUGGGAUUCAUGAUCUGGCGGAGAAGUCGUAACAAUGGUAGCGAG
rnacentral:rRNA from 1 species